rnacentral:tmRNA from 1 species
GGGGAUGACUUGGUUUCGACUGGAGUAGUCGGGGCUAUGUGCAUGUCGGACUGAGCAAUUCCGUUACGCGGCUCACACGCAUUUAAACGCAAACAACACAGAUUACCGUCCAGCUUACGCAGUAGCGUAAGUCUUUAACCCCGCUCACGCGGAGGACUGCCCUACCGAGGAGUGUCAUCUUAAUCGGAUUUUGGGUAUCACAUCUGGUGACUAUGCUCCAUGGAAGCUAUGCCAUGGUGUGAGAAUUCUAGCUCGUUAGGCAAAGUUUUGAGUGUAGUACAAAACCUAAUUAAAAUUAACAACACCGACUAAGCAUGUAGAGUCAUAGUUCUAUCUAUUUUAGGACAGGGGUUCAAUUCCCCUCAUCUCCACCA